GACGAACGCUGGCGGCGUGCUUAACACAUGCAAGUCGAACGGAAAGGCCCUGCUUUUGUGGGGUGCUCGAGUGGCGAACGGGUGAGUAACACGUGAGUAACCUGCCCUUGACUUUGGGAUAACUUCAGGAAACUGGGGCUAAUACCGGAUAGGAGCUCCUGCUGCAUGGUGGGGGUUGGAAAGUUUCGGCGGUUGGGGAUGGACUCGCGGCUUAUCAGCUUGUUGGUGGGGUAUUGGCUUACCAAGGCUUUGACGGGUAGCCGGCCUGAGAGGGUGACCGGCCACAUUGGGACUGAGAUACGGCCCAGACUCCUACGGGAGGCAGCAGUGGGGAAUAUUGCACAAUGGGCGGAAGCCUGAUGCGGCAACGCCGCGUGCGGGAUGACGGCCUUCGGGGUGUAAACCGAUUUCGCCUGGGACGAAGCGUGAGUGACGGUAAUGGGGAAAGAAGCACCGGCUAACCACGCG
rnacentral:rRNA from 1 species